UCUAAUACUGCCUGGUAAUGAUGAUGAUG
ensembl:miRNA microRNA 200b